rnacentral:lncRNA from 1 species
CGAAAGUUGGUCCAUGGUGGAAUUCCUCAUGCUUAAAUUAGGUAUCUGUCGUAUCCUUUAAGUGAGAACUCCUGGUAUCAAGAAAUUAAUUUUUGCUUCAUUUAAAAAAAAAUUAUUUGAAUUUGGCUUGUUUUGUGGUGUUAAAAAAUGUGUUGAUAUGAUAUCAGCUUAUCUUGUUUCAACAUGAUAUGGAUUUACAUUUUUUUUUCUUUUGCCGAUUCCCCCCACCCCCAGAAAUUUGGGGAGGAUAGCAGAAUUUGUUCCAGAUGACAAGUCGGACAAAAGUUGAAGGCGUGGACAGAAGCUGUCACGAUAUAGUCCCCAUGCCAAUACGAAUUCAAAAGAUAAAUUCGUCAGAAUACUGGCUAAAAGGAUAUGCUCCCAUGGUGGAAUUUGAUAUGGUUCCAUUAGGUAUUUGCCAUACCCUAUAACUGAGAAGUUCUUUUUGACUAUUAUGCAAUUAAUUAUUUGCUGGUUGAAGAGAUAUGGUCUGUGGUACAUUUAAUACAUAUCAUGGUUUGGAAGCCCUUUCUAAUAUUAUAUUUAAACUAUUUGUGCCAUUUUUCAUAUUCUUCUAGUCAUAAUGGCUAAUAUAUAAAAAAUUGAAACAUUUUAUACAGGGCCUCUGACUUCCGAAGCUUAAAGUUUGAUCGGCAUGCCUUCUUUUGGAAAAAUAUUAAGUAAUCUUAAUAUUUUUGCCUCAACUAUUUUCAGUAGAUGAUAGCUGAGAUUGAUAUAAGUUCUAAAGAUAUAUAUUUCUAAAGCUGAACAUGCAUGGAGUUGAUCUGACCACAACCAUGUUCACCAUCAAAUAAGACUGAGACUCAGAUGUAUCAGGUAUUUUUAGUUUUCUAUACCCAUAGAGAUAACUUCUUAACUGCGGACGUAUUAGCCCAUAGCUCCCUAUGAAGAAUUUAAUCAUAAUCUUUGAAGUGAUAAUGGAUAGUAUUUUUUCCUUAUUUAUUUUUGUCAAGUGAUAUUGUUGUAUUCAUACUUCCAGUAAAAAAAUAAAAUUGGGGUUGUAUUCACGGUAUAAUAUAACAUAGCAUUACAAUUUGCAUAGCAGGACUUCCUCAGAGAGUUGUAUUUUGAAGUUCUUUUACGCUAUAGCCUGACAAGGAUUGAUCAAGCAACUAAGCACACUUUUGCCUUGUUCCGGAUAUUUUUUUUGUUUGCCUAAGAUUGCUAGCCUCCAUGAUAGCUUUGGUGGAAAUAUGUACUGAAGAUCUGUGUUAUCAAUCCUUGUUCUUUAUGGGACCACCACCAGAUUCAUCUAACAACUACCAUCCAGGCCCAUCUCAGAACCUACCAUCUCCUCUCCUCCUUCCGGAGAUGUUUAAACUUACUGGCCCGUAGGAUCUCCACCUUCCAACAGACAACUAUAAUAUUGGAACAGUAACAUUACCUUUUUCUCUUUCCUCUCCUUUGUUCUUAAUUUCCACUCCCCCACCUCAUCCCGCAAAGAUUGAAAAGAACUAACACUACACUAAUUUUAAAUGAAUUUGCAGGUUUCUUGUUUGUAACGAGACAAUUGGAGAGGGAGAGAAAUUCAAAUUCAUAUUCACAUGUCAAUUCAAGCUUUAUGAAUUUAGGUCAGAAGAUCAGCUCGUAGAUGUGUAUGCUCUUCAGGAUACAGUUUUGGUGGAUAUGUGUGCGUUUAGACUUUGAGUAGAUUGUUUAUAAGGUGAUGCCCAGAUCUGCAACCAUUGGUGUCAAUUGAUGGAUAAUGAUAACUCUGAUGGUUACUUUUGAGUUCUGUUAUAAUAUCAGCACGACGGGGUUUUGUUGUUGUACCAACUGCUAGUUAGAAUGGUGGCUAUGGUGGGUGAGCAUUUUAAGCACCAAACAUCUAAUAUGCUGAACUUUUCUUAUUAUAGUCGUAGGGAUGUAUAGUCGUUAGUUUUACCUAUGUCGGGAUCAUGGCAAAGCAGGAUCCAUUAAGCUAUCCAUGUUUUAGCUUUCGGUUUUAUGUACUUGUUAAUUAACUGAUGGAAGGAAGAAUGAAUAGAAUUUUAUUUGAUCACAUUCACUCCAG